rnacentral:rRNA from 1 species
GACGAACGCUGGCGGCGUGCUUAACACAUGCAAGUCGAACGAAGUGGCGAACGGGUGAGUAACGCGUAAUCAACCUGCCCUUCAGUGGGGGACAACAGUUGGAAACGACUGCUAAUACCGCAUACUGAAGGAGGGGAUUGGGUCUGAUUAGCUAGUUGGGGGGGUAACGGCCCAGCAAGGCGAUGAUCAGGAGCCGGGCUGGGCGGCUUAACGGCCACAUUGGGACCGAGACACGGCCCAGACUCCUACGGGAGGCAGCAGUGGGGAAGCUUCCGCAAUGGAUGAAAGUCUGACGGAGCAACGCCGCGGGAGUGCUGAGGGCCUUCGGGUUGUACAGCUUUGUUAACCGGGACGCGGUACUGGAAUAGAAAGCCACGGCUAACUACGUGCCAGCAGCCGCGGUAAUUC